GUACUCACUUUGGGAGCACCUAGACUAAAAUUCAAAUGAUACAAGGAAGAUUAACAUGGUCUCUAUGCAAAGAUGUUAUACAAAUUUAUUAAGCAUUCUAUAUUUUA